CAAAAGAGGAGUGAGAGGGACUUUUUGCCAUUUCUGCCAUGUGAGGAUGCAGCAAGAAGAUACCAUCUCUGAGAAAGAGGUCCUUACCAGACAACGAAUCUGCUGCUGCUUUGAUGUUGGGCUUCCCAAACUCCACAACUGUUGUGUCCACUGAGGAAUGAUGAGGUUCAAAAACUUGGAGAGGAGAGCUUUAUUUCUCAAAAAUGAUUGCAGCCUGCAAGGUGGCCAUUCUGACAGGCUAGGAAAGUCCUUAUAGACUGACUCAGACAGAGGGAGACCUUCAUCAGUCAGCCUUGGGAGAGAUUCUGGGAGCUUCUCAAACCCUUCCAUGGAUGUGUAUUUUCUGAACGAAUGCAUAGAGAGACAGAUAAAUGGAGACAGAGACAGAGAUAAAAUAUGUCUCUGGAAUACGAAGAAAUCAUCUCUAAGGAGAGGAGGAGAAGGUCUCUAAUCUGGAAUAUAAACCAGCGGUUCCAGGGGAGUCAAGAAAGGAGUUUGUUAUGCUACAAAGUAAGCAACUGUCCCUGGAGCAACGUGGAGUUUCUAACUUGCCAGGCAUGCCUACCAUUAAACCAUUCUUUAACCCAGGUUGAGAGUCACUUUUGCUCAGAAUAUAACAUGCUCUGACUGUGCGGAAAUGUGUAAAGAUUCAUGGAGAAUUUUUUUCCCAGCAGAAAUGUCAUCUCAUAUUACCUCCAGCUGUGGACAAUUGGCAACAUUGUAAGGUGCUGAAAUAGCAUCAUUUUACUCAACCUUGAGGGAGGGAGGUCUGGCUCCUGUGCCACCUCCUUCACUUUUGCCCACAUUUAUCCAGUUUAGUUUAUACUGUUGCCUGGCAGGAGGAAGAGUUUUGAGCUCAAUCUUCGGCUACACCACAAAGAUGAGGACUAACAAAGUCACUCUGCUGGCUUGCAUUCCUAGCACAGGUGAGAGGAGUCCAUCAAACUCAGUUUGCUUUUACUAGAGAUUCCUGGACUUCACACUUCUUGCUUCUCCUCCCUCCACCACCAGCGUAUUAGUCCUUUGCACGCUGCUGAUAAAGACAAAUCCAAGACUGGGUAUAUCAUAAAGAAAAAGAGGCUUCAUGGACUCAAAGUUCCACGUGGCUGGGGAGGCCUCACCAUCAUGGCAGAAGGUGAAAGGCACAUCUUACAUGAUGGUGGGGAAGAGAGAAUGAGAGCCAAGCCAAAGGGGAGACCCCUUAUGAAAUCAUCAGAUCUUGUGAGACUUAUUCACUACCACGAGAACAGUAUGGGGGAAACUACUCCCAUGAUUCAAUUAUCUCCCACUAGCUCCCUCCCACAACACGUGGGAAUCAUGGGAGCUGCAAUUCAAGAUGAGAUUUGGGUGGGGACACAGCAAAACCAUAUCAGGUAACAAUUUCACCUGUGUUGCUAUGAUCUUUGUCCUGGUCUGACAGGGUAGCAGCACACUGCCAUUCUUGCCUUUCUGUGACUUGUGACCUGUCCUCCACACGGCAUCCAGAACUCUCCAUUGAGGCUCUAAGUUGGGUAAGUUAGGUCACAACUUGCCCCUGGUCAAAACUCUCCGAAGUCUUCCCCGCGACUUAUAAUACAAAGAGACCUUUCUGUAACUCAAAUGCUCUACAUUAUCCAUCCCUUGACUGUCACAUUGGCUUUCCUUUUUCCAUUCUUUAAAUUUGCUAAGAAUAAUCUUACUCCAGGCUUUUGCAGUUGCUGUGCCCUCUGCCUCAAAGACACAUCUCCAAGAUAUUCAUAAAGUGUUCUCUCUCACUUUAUUCCAGUCGCUAUUCAAAUGACAUCUACUUAGAGAAGUGUCUCCUGAACAAUCCAUCAAAAAUAGCACUCUUACAUCUCUAGCCCCAUUUCCUUCUUUAUUUUUCCUCAGAGACCUUACCACUUACAAUCUGACACCACAAUACGGAAAAGUCGGUUUCUGUGUUUACUGUUGUUGUCCUCCUCCAGAAUGUCAGUGCUACAAGGGCAGUGACACUUCCUCACCCUCAGACCCUGGAGCAUGGCCUGCCCCUGAGAAGGCAUUUGAUGAGCAAGUGAAUGAAGGAAUGAACAGUCAAUCAGCCGGCGCCGGCAAGGGGAGUAAAACUGCAGGGUGGCUGACUAAAGGAGAAUGAAAUUCUCAAAUACCACUACAAAAAAUAGAUGGUAGCUGUCUGGGGCUGAGAUGUGUCCUGCCAAAUUCAUAGGUUAAAAUCCUAAGCACUGGUACCUCAGAAUGUGAUUGUGUUUGGAGAUAAAGCCUUUACGUAGAUAAUUAUAUUAAAAUAAAGCUGUGAGUAUGGGCCCUAAUCCAAUAAGACUGGUGUUCUAGAAAAAGACAGCUUGGAUGCACAGAGACACCAGGGAUGCACAUGCCUAGAAGGAAGACCAUGGAAGGACACGUGGAGAAGGCUCCUCUGCAAACCAAGGAGCGAGGCCUCAAGAGAAUCAGACCUGCCAACAUCUUGAUCUUGGACUUCUAGCCUCCAGAACUGUGAGAAACACAUUUCUGUUGUUUAAGCCACCCAGUCUGUGGUGUUUUGUUGUGGCAGCCCUAGAAACUAACCUGGUAGCUACAUUGGAUAAACCAAGAAUUAGACAAGAACCUAGUCUAGAAAUACAGAGGUGAACACAGUAAAAGCAGAUGCAGGAAUGAGUUUUCUGCAUAGUAAGCUGAAUGACCUGAAAUCUAAAAUCUAGGUGAAAAAACCAUCUCGUAAAUUAGAGAAACAAAGUUCUGAUAAAAUUUUAUCAGGAAAUACAUGUAAUAUAAGUUUCAAGUAAGAGGCCUAUGAAUUACCUGUUGUUCAAUUUUUGUUGGGAGGUAGAAUAGAGUUUAACUUUUUUUUUUUUUUUUUUUUAAACACAGGGUCUCACCCUGUCAGCCAGGCUGGAGUGUAGUGGUGUGAUCUUGGCUCACUGCAGUCUCAAAUUCAUAGGCUCAAGCAAUUCUCCCACCUCAGCCUCCUGGGUAGCUGGGACUACAGGCACAUGCCACCAUGCCCAGCUAAUUUUUUGUAUAUUUUUGUAGAUAUGGGGUCUCACUAGGUUGCCCAGGCUGAUCUUGAACUCCCAGGCUCAAGGUUUUAGCUUUAAAUAAAGGGAACUGAAUUAAAUAAACACAAUUUGGUUGUGAUUGACUAUUCAUGAUUUAGAGCAACAAUUAUUGUAAAUUCAUUUAUUAAAGUUGAAAUUUAAGUUCAUUUCCAUGUCUUUAGUAUACUGAGGAAUAAACAAUAUAGGUAAAUAAGAGUGAUUUAUGCUUAAUGAAAAACAACACUAAGUCAUAUAAAAAGAGUAAGAACUAUGAAACUUGGGUUUAAUGAAUAGAUGUCAACCUGAACAGAGGUCUCUUAAUAAUUUGUACAAAGUCAUGAAUUUUUAAGAAUAAAAUUAAAACUAAUUUGUUCAAAAAGUAAUUUAGGGGUAUUUAAUUAUGUUCAGCCAAAAUUUCCAGAGAAGAACACAGAGCUGCAAGAUGGUAACAAAUAAUGAAAAGCAAAGUGACCAGAGGGCUUGAAUUUUCUGUGCAGCUGAGGAUGGCAGUGCUGAGUCACAAUAAGGAAGACUCCAAAUGAAGUUCCAGGUGGUGUCAGAGGUAUUAUUGGCACAGCAGACCGUAAUUGGUGCUUCAGCUUCUCGUUCCAUGAUACUAAGAUGAAGGCAGCUUUCCAGGCAGGUGGGGAAUCUGCUGGUGUCUCCGAUACUCGCCUUUGAAUAAAAUUAGCAGCAGCUUGCAGUAGUUAGAAAGGCCAAUCUUCUCUUGUAGGCACUGAAGGAAAUUUCCCUGAACAGAUUGAACCAAGUGGGAAGCAACUGAUUCCAGGAACACCCACGUUCCCAAGGCCUGGGCGCGGCCAGUGCAGCUCUGGUACAUGGAUCCCAGUUCAGAAUCCACAGCCUCCUAACCUGGAUUUAUUAUACCAUUGUUUUAACCUAAGGAAGGACUUUGCAUUUCUCUCCAUUGAAUUUCAUCUUGUUAAUUUUAGACCACUGCGCUAUCUCCUGAAAUACGUUCUGAGACUUUAUGCUGUCUUUCAAUUCUUCAACUUUCUUUUCCCAAACUGAUAUCAUGUGCCUCCUUUUAAAUGUAGAGGCUUAAAAUACAAAGCCAGGAAAGGCUACUUACAAAUUACUGAGUCCUCUUUUCAGGUUGAUACUUAUCCAUUAAACAACCUGCCUAUCCAUUGCACUGCAAAAUCAUCCUGCUUUCUUAUUUUACAUUCUUUUUUGUCUUCAAGUGUUUUGCAAAAUAUUGUAUUUAUACAUCCUGCAAAAAUAAAGCUAGAAAUGUCCCAGAAAAGUAUCUUGAUCUCUACUACAGCAGGGACUCUGUUACAAAAGCAGAUGGGAAUCUUGAUGUUGCAUAUUGUUAAGAGAGAAACUUGGGGCUAUAACACCCACACCCCCCUCUACCUCUGCAACGAGGAAGGUGUUGAGAGACCAAAUAAUUACUUGGGAAAGUCCAACUUGACAAUUACAUAAAGUUUAUUAGGACUUACAUACAGGGUGCUCCUGGAUAACAGCAGGGCAACGCUAGAG
rnacentral:lncRNA from 1 species